GGCUGAGCCACUGCGGCAGCGCAACCACUAACGAGUCGCGAGGAUUGCGAUUGGGUUUGCAGCGGGAAUUGGAAUUGCAGAAGGCGCAGGCAGAGGGGAGGCAGCGGGGAGGCCAUCCCAGGUCGUUGAGUAAUUGUGCAGCAAUGAGCAUGGUGGCUGCCAGCAGAUUUUCCCGUUGAUAAAGUGCAAACCAACACUCGGAAAACCUUUUUGCCAGCCAGCCGCCGCUCAUAAUAAGAAA